AUAAGUGGUCUUGCUAUGCAAGAACACUUAUUAUUAUUAUUAUUAUUAUUAUUAAGUGUUCUUGCAUAGCAAGACCACUUAUUGUUAUCU